GCUCAGGAUGAACGCUAGCUACAGGCUUAACACAUGCAAGUCGAGGGGUAGCAGGGUAGCAAUACCGCUGACGACCGGCGCACGGGUGAGUAACACGUAUCCAACCUUCCCAUAACUCGGGGAUAGCCUUUCGAAAGAAAGAUUAAUACCCGAUAGUACUUAUAUAAGGCAUCUUAAAUAAGUUAAAGAUUUAUUGGUUAUGGAUGGGGAUGCGUUCCAUUAGAUAGUUGGUGAGGUAACGGCUCACCAAGUCUUCGAUGGAUAGGGGUUCUGAGAGGAAGGUCCCCCACAUUGGUACUGAGACACGGACCAAACUCCUACGGGAGGCAGCAGUGAGGAAUAUUGGUCAAUGGGCGAGAGCCUGAACCAG
rnacentral:rRNA from 1 species